rnacentral:rRNA from 1 species
UACGUAGGGUGCAAGCGUUAAUCGGAAUUAGUCUGGGCGUAAAGCGUGCGCAGGCGGUUUUGUAAGUCGUGUCCGUGAAAUCCCCGGGCUCAACCUGGGAAUUGCGAUGGAGACUGCAAGGCUAGAAUCUGGCAGAGGGGGGUAGAAUUCCACGUGUAGCAGUGAAAUGCGUAGAGAUGUGGAGGAACACCGAUGGCGAAGGCAGCCCCCUGGGUCAAGAUUG